AGAUUGCGCCACUGCACUCCAGCCUGGGCGAGAGAGCAAGACUCUGUCUCAAAAAAAAAAAAAAAAAAAAAAAAAAUUGUAAAUCUUAAAUUCAAAACACUCUAACAUUUAGAUCAUUUCUGGAAGACAUGCAGGAUGGUAGAGCAAUUAGCAUAUGAUCAGACGAUUUAACCUUUUCACAUUAAUGCUGUGGACAUUGUUCAGUGUCCCUGUUUCUACAUCUGUAAAAGAAAAAAUGUGGAAAACAUCUGUCAAGAAAGCUCCAGGAUCUGAAGUCUAAGGAAUCACUAAGAAAUGUACUGAUGAAAGAAAGGAAGUAAAUUAUUCUCUGAUUGUCACAACUGUUAGCAUUCCAAAUAUAUCAAAUAAUUUCUACCACUGAUUCUAUCUCAAAAUUAUUUCUAACCCAAAUUAAUAAGAGAUGUGUCUGGGAAUAUGAAUAAAUUAAUUACUUGUGCGAACCAGAUUAAAAUGACAACUGUGCUUAACCAUUAGGUCUAUAAUUUUCUUUUUCGCCACUUUUUUUCUGCUGUAUUUAUAUCCAGGUGACUUUCCACUUCAUUUCUCAAGUGUUAAGUAUUGAACACUAGUAAAUUCUGCAACUGCUUCCACUCCCAACUCAUGCAAUCUUUACUGAAUACCUCUUGAGACUGCACACAUUUAUAACAGCCUAUUCUUUUUUUUAACCUCUUUUUGACCUUUCUUAAGUUUCUUGCGUUAGAACUAACCAGACUCACCUUUACUAUUUAUUUUGACUGACAGACUGACCAUGUGGGAAUAAAGCAGCAAUGACUCUCCCAAAAUUCUCUUAACAUUGUCUAUUUUACUUUACACGAAAAAUUAUUCCUGUCUUAGGUAUUUUAAUACCAAUAUCAUGUUUCUUGUUUUGUUUUGUAUGUUUGUUUCACGUUUUUUCCAGAUCCGUGCCUGUAUAGAACCACCACAAAAUGUGUAACAUUGAAUGACAUUUGAGAUUAAGAAGGCAACAAUAAUAUUAUGUAUCUAUUAUAAAGAAGAAUGCCACAAAAACUCCCUGGGACCCUCUGCUCAUUAUAUUUAUAAUGCUGCAAGGAGGAACUUAAAUGAUCAUUUUUGCACCUUAUUAUUAUUUUUUAAUUGGAGACAGAGUCUUGCUUUGUGGCUCAGGCUGGAGUGCGGUGGCACAAUCUUGGCUCACUGCAGUCUUGACCUCCUGGGCUCCAGUAAU
rnacentral:lncRNA from 1 species